CCUACGGGGGGCAGCAGUGAGGAAUAUUGGUCAAUGGUCGGGAGACUGAACCAGCCAAGCCGCGUGAGGGAUGAAGGUACAGAGUAUCGUAAACCUCUUUUGUCAGGGAACAAAGGCGGGGACGUGUCCCCGGAUGAGUGUACCUGAAGAAAAAGCAUCGGCUAACUCCGUGCCAGCAGCCGCGGUAAUUCGGAGGAUGCGAGCGUUAUCCGGAUUUAUUGGGUUUAAAGGGUGCGCAGGCGGAUUGUUAAGUCAGCGGUAAAAGCCCGGGGCUCAACCCCGGCCCGCCGUUGAAACUGGCAUGCUCGAGUUGGAGAGACGUAUGCGGAAUGCGCGGUGUAGCGGUGAAAUGCAUAGAUAUCGCGCAGAACUCCGAUUGCGAAGGCAGCAUGCGGGCUCCACACUGACGCUGAGGCACGAAGGCGUGGGUAUCGAACAGGAUCAGAUACCCGAGUAGUC
rnacentral:rRNA from 1 species